GAGGGGGGAAAGGCACAGAGCAAUGGCAACAUCUUACCUAGUAAAAACGUAAAGGACCCCUGGAUGGUUAAGUCCAGUCAAAGGCAACAAUGGGGUUGUGGUGCUCAUCUCACUUCAGGCCGAGGGAGCCAGCGUUUGUCCACAGACAGAUUUUCAGGUCAUGUGGGCAGCAUGACUAAACUGCUUCUGGCACAAUGGAACACCGUGACGGAAACCAGAGCGCACGAAAACGCCAUUUACCUUCCUGUUGCAGCGGUACCUAUUUAUCUACUUGCACUGGUGUGCUUUCAAACUGCUGGUUGGCAGGAGCUGGGACCGAGCAACGGGAGCUCACCCUGUCGUGAGGAUUCAAACUGCUGACCUUCUGAUUGGCAAGCCCAAGAGGCUCAGUGGUUUAGACCACAGCGCCACCCGCGUCCUAUCAUGCCUAGUGAGUGACAACAUUUGGGCAUUUUAAGAAGCCCCAUGCACCAGACAAUGGUUGGGGGACCUUUUUGAGCCUGAGAGCUGCAAACCCUUUUGGGCAACUUCCCAAGGACCACAUGCCAGUGAUGGAUGGGGCUAGAGGCAAAAGUGGGUGGAGCAAUGAAUAUGCAUUUUGCUUUCUACAGUAGGCUGCUUUCUACACACACUCACACAUCCCUCUCUAUCCUCCAAUCAAGAGGCAUUGUCAGAGUUUAGGGACACACUCCAGCCAGGCACAAACACUUGUGGGGUGCAAAGGAGGACCAGUAAUGGGUGUAGCCUGUGGGAAGAGGGCCACACAGAGAGGUCUGGAGGCCCAAAUUCAGCCCCAGGCCUGACAUUCCCCACCUCUGCGCUCUGUUUUUCAAUAUUA
rnacentral:lncRNA from 1 species